rnacentral:rRNA from 1 species
UUGAAAGGGAAACGAUUGAAGUCAGUCAUACCAACGGGAAAUCAACCUUUUGAGCUUGGUCUCGUGGGUUUUGAAGAGUUUCAAAGCCUUCGGACUCGCGGGAUUGGGAUCUCUUGGUGUACUUUCUCGUACGGUUAGUCAACAUCGGUUUUGAAUGUCAUAAAAUGACUGGAGGAAUGUAGCUUCUUGAAGUGUUAUAGCCUUUGGUAGAUGUGAUGUUUGAGACCGAGGAUUGCAACGGAUACCCUUCAGGGCUAUUCGUCUGAUCUCUGAUACGUUGCCUUGAUGUUGAAAGCUUGCUUAUGAUGUUAGGGUAUUACGGUCAAAAGGUUAGAACGAAUUACAUUCGUUAAGGAUGUUGACGUA